GCGCUGCCUUUGAGCCCCCGCUGCGCCUGUGCGUGGCGCCGGGGGUCAGGCUGCAGCGCCAGAGCACGUGCUUGCGCAUAACUGGGGCCGUCAGCCCUACCGCGGGCGGCCUUUUUAACCGCGAGCGACAUGG